AUUGAACGCUGGCGGCAUGCCUUACACAUGCAAGUCGGACGGCAGCACGGGGGCAACCCUGGUGGCGAGUGGCGAACGGGUGAGUAAAGCAUCGGAACGUACCUGGGAGUGGGGGAUAACGUAGCGAAAGUUACGCUAAUACCGCAUAUUCUGUGAGCAGGAAAGCGGGGGAUCGCAAGACCUCGCGCUUCUGGAGCGGCCGAUGUCGGAUUAGCUAGUUGGUGGGUAAAGGCCUACCAAGGCGACGAUCCGUAGCGGGUCUGAGAGGAUGAUCCGCCACACUGGGACUGAGACACGGCCCAGACUCCUACGGGAGGCAGCAGUGGGGAAUUUUGGACAAUGGGCGCAAGCCUGAUCCAGCCAUGCCGCGUGAGUGAAGAAGGCCUUCGGGUUGUAAAGCUCUUUCGGUGGGGAAGAAAUCGCACUUUUUAAUAGAGGGUGUGGAUGACGGUACCCGCAUAAGAAGCACCGGCUAACUACGUGCCAGCCGCCGCGGUAACAC
rnacentral:rRNA from 1 species